UAGACCUUUAAUUAAAUCCAGAGAGAUUUUCAAGGUCGUUUGAAGAUAAACGUGUAUUAAUUCUGCACGUCUACCUCUUUACGACCAAAAAUCGUAAAGAGGUUUUUUUAU
rfam:Ornithinibacillus halophilus strain IBRC-M 10683 genome assembly, contig: Ga0104432_1001